rnacentral:tRNA from 2 species
GCGCCCGUAGCUCAGUUGGAUUAGAGUGCUUGGCUACGAACCAAGAGGUCGGGAGUUCGAAUCUCUCCGGGCGCGCCA